UGGUCGCAAAUCAUGGUUAUUAACCUAUGAUAUCGAAUAAUGGGCAGUCGACUAUGAUAUCAAACAAUGCUUCACUUAUUGGUGUACACAUUUGCUAAAUUGUGAUUAAUGGAUUCAUGUUGGAUGUAGAAAUGCACGAGAAUUUUCCUAGUGAUUGUAGUGGGUUGGUAAUUGAGCAGUUACAGGGGUGGAUACAUAUGAGCAUAAGCUCUAAAAUAUAAUGGACAACUGUUAAAAUAAAUAUAAAAGAAAGAAAAAAAGAAGAUAAAAAAAUCAACUCUUAAGUCCGAUGGUCUCCCAGCAUGGUGUUCUAGCCCAUUUCGUAAGCACUCUAGGCGACACAUUAUUUCAUCUCACAAUAGUCGGCACAGAGUCGCUCCCCUAAGGAUAAGGUGAGUGCCAUCUGGUCGUCUGUGCAAGUAAGGGAUGACCUAAUCACUCAUGUGGGCCAUCCACCUCAAUACUAUAUGCAAAUAGGCAAUGCCCAAUAAUCUACAAAACCUAUUUUUCUUACCCACAACAAUGUGUCUCUCCCGUGGGCUUGUCCAUUUGGUUAUUAGUACCAAUCACCAGGCUGCAGAAAAUGGGGGCAAGAGCUUGACUAUUUAAUAGGGUGGUAUGCCUCGGGUGGAAGGCAUCCAUAUCCUUGAUGAACCGGACACGGGAUACUCUUUCCGUAUAAGUCGAAAACCGAAUCAAAAAGGAAAUACAGGAACACCAAAACUUACUAACCGAAGUAUAUAUACCAAAUGCCAGGGUCAGCUAUGUGAGGUUCCCAACAUGGUCAUGGGAUCUUCGAGCAUCGAUCCACAAGGGAGUAUAAAGGGGAUUGACAACCCAAGCUUUGUGGCUCUUGCAUGACCUCUCAUAAGGCCCAAAACCCACGCCUCGUUUUCUUACAUGUAUGUUUCAUGUCAGAUGGUGGUGUGGGUUUCGGUACGUCUCAAGUGGCAGGGCGGCUAGAGAAUUUAUUUUCUUGCUAGCCAUUAGGAUAUAUGUCACAAGUUAUGACAUGAUCUUGUGUGAGGAAAAGGGGAAGACAGAUCUCCGGUUAAAUGAUGUGAUCUCGUGUGAAUGGAAGGGUGUGGAUCUUCAAUGAUGUGAAGUGAUCAUUUUCAUUUUUUCAAAGCGAUCUCAUGUGAGUGGAGUGGGGGGUAAUCUUCAGUGAUGUGAUGGGUUUUUCACUGUUUCUAGUUAUUUCCAUUUUAUUUAACCAAUAGAAUCAAAAAGGAAAUAUAGAAACAACAAAACUUACUAACCGAAGUUUGGUAUAUACCAAAUGCCAGGCUCGGCCACGUGAGGUGUCCAACAUGGGCGUGGGACCAUCGAGCAAUGAUUCACGAGGGAGGAGAAAUAGGAUUGAUAGCCCAAGCAUUGUAUCUCUUGCAUGACCUCUCAUAAGUCCCAAGCCCACCCCUCGCUUUCUUACAUGUAUGUUUAAUGUCACAUGGUGGGGUGGGUUUCGGUAUGUCUCAAGUGGCGGGGUGGCUAGAGAAUUUGUUUUCAUGCUAGACCUUAGGAUAUAUGUCAUACGUUAUGAUGUGAUUUUCUGUGAGGAAAGGGGUAAGACGGAUCUUGGGUUAGAUGAUGUGAUCUCGUGUGAGUGGAAGGGUGUGGAUCUUCUAUGACGUGAAGUCAUAACUUUCAUUUUUCCAAAGCGAUCUCAAGCGAGUGGAGUUGGGGGGUGAUCCUCAAUGAGGUGAUGUGUUUUUCAUUGUUGCUAGUUAUUUCCAUGUUUUCUUAACCAAUUUAAGAAAAAAAAUGCAUAUCUAUCUUGAAAUACGGGAAAAAACAAAGGGCACAUCUACAAUGCUAGCAUUUGCUGGCUAGCUGUCCAUGGGGCACACCUAAAAAGUAAACAUCCCCAUCGAGUUCCAAUGAGUUUAAAAUGGAAAUUCACCCCAAAAAUACCACCUAGUCCUCCCACACAUAUUGGCCCGCCUAAAUACUGUAGCUAAGAGGCUUUUUGCUUUAGUGCUAAACAAAAUUUCUUCCUUUUGCACUUUAUUUGCAUAUGGAUGGUAUAGGCUCUAGGACAAUGAUUGUCUUGUAUGUCUUGUACACAGUUACCGCCUAAUUACAAACAACACUCUCCCAUGGCCCUAUUGUGACCUACUCUAUACAGCUAUAAGGACGAGUGGAUGGAUGAAUGUGAUCGGUGCGAGCAUAAAUAUGAGAAGGACAUUACUUUACUUUCCCUUGAUUGCACUAAACUUAAAUUAUUUUUAAUAUGUUCUCACACGUAACUACAAUUGUCUCUAUUGCUUUAUCUAGGUACACCACACAUUUGUGCAUGUGAAGUAUGAUUUCCUAUUGUAGUUUUAAUACGAGCAACGUGUGAGAACAAGUCAUAUAGUCUCUUAGGGCAUCUUUGGCAAUCCUCUAGAACCGCAGACACCUCGACUCUCGCUCCUCUAACUCAAACCCAACAUAAAUAUACUAGGGAUUUGAUAAGCCAUUAGCCAAAUCGGUAGUGUCCUAAGAUCGAUUUCAUCGUCCGAUGAUCCAUUUAGGGGACAUUUGGCCCGUUUGACAAGGAAACAUCCGCACAAUAUGGAUCUUCACCUCCACAUUGUAUGCAACUACGCAAGGCCUAAUAUUCUACAAAACAUCUUCUUCUCAACCAACCCAAUCAGUAUCUCCCAUGGGGCUUGUCUAUUUCGUGAUUUCUCCCACAUCAUGUGGCUACACAAAAAUGGGGUAGGGACCUUUUCUAUUUAAUAUGGCGGGGUGCCAAGCGCUGAAGGUAUCCACAUCCUUAGUUUGCCUAAUGCAUUCUACCCUUUUGGAAUAAAUUGAAAACAUAAUGGAACAACAAAUAUAGAAACACCAAAAUUUACUAACCUAAGGUUAGUUUACACCAGAUGCGAGGCUUAGCCAUGGCAGGUGACCAACUCGAGCGUGAGACCAUCAAGAAGCGAUCCACGUGGAGAAUAAAUGGGGUCAACAACCCAAGCAUUGCGGCUCUCGCAUGGCCUCUCGUAAGUCCCAAGACCCACUCCUCACUUUGCUUACAUGUGUCAUUUAUUUCGGACGGUGGCGAGGCUUCCGGUACGUCUCAAAUGGCAGGGUGGCUAGAGAAUUUAUUGUCGUGCUACUAUAAGUGCACUUAAGGAUAUAUCUCAUGCAUUACGACGCGAUAUUCCGUGAGGAAAGGGGGAAAACUGACCCAGAUUAAAUGAUGCGAUAUCGCGUGAGUGGGAAAAUGUAGAUCUUCCAUGAUGUGAAGGGAUUAUUUCCAUUUUUCAAAGCAAUAUCGUGGGAGCGGAGUGGGUGGAUCUUCUAUGACAUGAUGUUUUUUAAUCUUUAUUAGUUAUUUCCAAUAUUUCUUAACCAAUUUAGGAGAACAAAUCAUAUCCAACAUGAAAUAUGGGAAGAUACUAAGGAAACAUCUACAAAGCAAACAUUUAAUAGCUAGCUACCCAUGGCGCAUGCCCAUAAAAACAAACACCCCAUGAAGUCCUAGUGAGCCUAAACUGGAAAUCCAACACCGACAAUAUAUACAACCUGGUCCGCCUACACGUGUUGGCCCACCUAAAUAGUGUACUUAAGCGGCUUCUUGCAUCACAAUUAAACAAAAUAUCUUCCUUUUGCUCUUCAUUUGCUAAUUUUUGGUAUAGUCUUAGGCCAAUGAUUAUCUUGAAUCUUUUGUACACAAUACCUAAUUACAAAAACUUUCCCCCAUUAACCUAUUGUGGCCUACUCUAUACAUAUCGGAGGACGAGAGGAUGGAUGAAUGUAUUCCAGAGGAGGAAUACAUAUGCGAGGUUCAUUGCAUUACUUUCCCUUGGUUACCCAAAACUAAAAAUCUUGUUAUAUAUUCUCACACGUAAUUACAAUGGUCACUGAUGCUUUAUCCAAACACACCACACUUGUGCAUGUGAAGUAUGAUAUCAUAUUGUACUUGCAAUACAAGCUAACUGUUCUAAUGAGUCACAAUGUUUAUUCACGUAAGUAUGUAGUUUUGGUUGGAGAUCGUUACAAGAGGCGCUCCCCCUCGUGGUUGAGGAUAACAUUUCUUAUCAAACAAAUGUGUAUAUAUACGUUCACAAGACAUUGAUUUCUUACUUGGUGUUACGGUAAUAGUGUUUUGAUGUUUGGAUAGAGUGUUGGAUAGGCAAUGGAUACCACACUGGGCUCUAAAUAAUAAAUAACCCUGGCACACACAUUUUAGUACUAAUCAGUAAUAGGUUAUUUUUUCAUAUAAGUACAUAUGUUUUUAAAAAAAGUGUAUUUCACACUUUGUAAAAACGUCCUAAAUCCACUCUACACUUUCUUUUUGAAAAAAAUCGAACUUACAUUUUCGACAAAUAAACUUGCGCAUUUUGAGACUAACGUAGGCUUCGAAAAAAAGAAAGAUUUACCUAAGGCAUGGAAAAAGCAAUAAAUCAUUUAGAUCUUUGGUCAUAUAAGGUGGAUAGACAAUGAAAAGCCAUAAUAAGUAGAGUCUAGUUGAUCGGUCAUAAGCGGUGCGAGAGUCUCCAUUCUGAAAACUCCACACAUACAACAAAAACGGAAUCAAAACCAGUUUCGGAAGAAGUGUUGGGCACGGAACUGAACCUAAAGGCUGAACAUAAUAGUUCGCACUCAUAUAGCCAAACUCGAAAUCUUCUAUGUUUUUUUUCUAACGUAGCAUAUCCUCUUUCGUCCCAAUCUCCAAUUCUCAUCACCCAAAACCAACAAAGAUGCCACUUGGGCCUAUCGCCGUCCAUAAAGAACAACUCUAAGUUUCUCUUAACUUUUUCCCUUCAAUUUCUCAAUGUUACUUAUGGCCCAACUCCAUAUGACCACAUCUAAAUCCACUAGCACAAAACAAAUCAUGGCCUUCAAGAAACUAAGCACACUCUAAUACAACUUAUCAAGCCCUCGUCUGAGCCCCAUCCUGCUUCGGGACCCCUUUUCAAUUGCAAACAAGAUCAAGAAUUGUGAUGCAUAGGAGAGUAUGACCCAACCAGUAGUAGGCCCGCCUCUCGGAAAAAUAGUGCCGCCUACUCCUCUAGUCCCUCAUGUCCCGAGACGCACGAACUCUACAAGUGAUCUUCGAAGCAACAAGCAUGGUGCUUUCGAUUGGUGUUCAGCGAAAGAAGGUUCCACACCUAGCUGAAUUAACACCAACCUCCCGCUUGAUCUUGUUUCGUGAAACAAGCACAAACCUCUAGUUAAUAUUGUAUUGCCUAUGUGGAAAGUGUAGAAUUGAUACUCAUGUUGCUAGAUUCACAAUCUAUAAGAUUAUUUGGAAGUUCUCAUCCUUGUAUAUUUGUUUGGAUCUAUCUAGAUAAAGACUUUGAAGACUUUUGAGAUAAAUGCCUUAGUCAAGAAAUUUGAUGUGUUUUGUUGAAUAGACCAAACUUGUAUCUCUCAGCACAAACUUGUUUCCUCGUGAACCAUUGUAUCCUGCAAAUUAAGCAUACCCAAUUCGUAUCAUGUUAAAGGUUGUUUGUUCAAAGUCUUCUUAGUUAUGUUUCAUUCAUAUGUCGCGAUGUUGGUUUCUCUUUUUUUUGGCAGUUGUUGUGAAAUAUUAUGUUGUGCUUGAUUUUUGUGUUUCUCAUGCAUUUGGUCAUCAUAGUAAUAUAUAUCUAGUCGCAAUUCAUGGUUAUUAACCUAUGAUAUCGAAUAAUGGNGAGGAAAAGGGGAAGACAGAUCUCGGGUUAGAUGAUGUGAUCUCGUGUGAGUCGAAGGGUGUGGAUCUUCAAUGAUGUGAAGUGAUACUUUUCAUCUUUUCAAAGCGAACUCAUGUGAGUGGAGUGGGGGUGAUCUUUAGUGAUGUGAUGGGUUUUUCACUGUUGCUAGUUAUUUCCAUUUUACUUAACCAACGGAAUCAAAAAGGAAAUAUAGAAACAACAAAACUUACUAACCAAAGUUUGGUAUAUACCAAAUGCCAGGCUCGGCCACGUGAGGUGUCCAACAUGGGCGUGGGACCAUCGAGCAGCGAUUCGCGAAGGAGGAGAAAGUGGAUUGAUAGCCCAAGCAUUCUAUCUCUUGCAUGACCUNNNNNNNNNNNNNNNNNNNNNNNNNNNNNNNNNNNNNNNNNNNNNNNNNNNNNNNNNNNNNNNNNNNNNNNNNNNNNNNNNNNNNNNNNNNNNNNNNNNNNNNNNNNNNNNNNNNNNNNNNNNNNNNNNNNNNNNNNNNNNNNNNNNNNNNNNNNNNNNNNNNNNNNNNNNNNNNNNNNNNNNNNNNNNNNNNNNNNNNNNNNNNNNNNNNNNNNNNNNNNNNNNNNNNNNNNNNNNNNNNNNNNNNNNNNNNNNNNNNNNNNNNNNNNNNNNNNNNNNNNNNNNNNNNNNNNNNNNNNNNNNNNNNNNNNNNNNNNNNNNNNNNNNNNNNNNNNNNNNNNNNNNNNNNNNNNNNNNNNNNNNNNNNNNNNNNNNNNNNNNNNNNNNNNNNNNNNNNNNNNNNNNNNNNNNNNNNNAAGUGGCGGGGUGGCUAUAGAAUUUGUUUUCAUGCUAGACCUUAGGAUAUAUGUCACACAUUAUGAUGUGAUUUUCUGUGAGGAAAGGGGUAAGACGGAUCUUGGGUUAGAUGAUGUGAUCUCGUGUGAGUGGAAGGGUGUGGAUCUUCCAUGACGUGAAGUCAUAAUUUGCAUUUUUCCAAAGCGAUCUCAAGCGAGUGUAGUCGGGGGGGGGGUGAUCCUCAAUGAGGUGAUGUGUUUUUCAUUGUUGCUAGUUAUUUCCAUGUUUUCUUAACCAAUUUAAGAAAGAAAAAUACAUAUCUAUCUUGAAAUACGGGAAAAACAAAGAGCACAUCUACAAUGCUAGCAUUAGCUGGCUAGCUGUCCAUGGGGCACACCCGAAAAGCAAACAUCCCCAUCGAGUUCCAAUGAGCUUAAAAUGGAAAUUCACCCCAAAAAUACCAACUACUCCUCCCAUACAUGUUGGCCCGCCUAAAUAGUGUAGUUAAGCGGCUUCUUUCUUUACAGUUAAACAUUCUUCCUUUUGCACUUUAUUUGCAUAUGGAUGGUAUAGGCUCUAGGCCAAUGAUUGUCUUGUAUGUCUUGUACAGAGUUACCGCCUAAUUACAAAAAACACUCUCCCAUGGCCCUAUUGUGCCCUACUCUAUACAACCAUAAGGACGAGUGGAGGGAUGAAUGUGAUCAGUGCGAGCAUAAAUAUGACAAGGACAUUAAUUUACUUUCCCUUGAUUGCACAAAACUGAAAUUAUUUUUAAUAUGUUCUCACAUGUAACUACAAUUGUCUCUAUUGAUUUAUAUGGGUACACCACACAUUUGUGCAUGCAAAGUAUGAUUUCCUAUUGUAGUUUUAAUACGAGCAACGUGUGAGAACAAGUCGUAAAGUCUCUUAGGGCAUCUUUGGCAAACCUCUAGAACCGCAAACACCUCGACUCUCGCUCCUCUAACUCAAACCCAACUUAAAAAUACUAGGGAUUUGAUAAGCCGUUAGCCAAAUCGGCAGUGUCCUAAGAUCGAUUUCAUUGUCCGAUGACCCAUUUACGGGAUAUUUCGCCUGUUUGACAAGGAAACAUCCGCACCAUAUGGAUCUUCACCUCAACAUUGUAUGCAACUACAUAAGGCCUAAUAUUCUACAAAACUUAUUCUUCUCAACCUAUCCAAUCAGUCUCUCCCAUGGGGCUUGUUUGUUUCGUGAUUUCUCCCACAUCAUGUGGCUACACAAAAUGGGGUAGGGACCUUUUCCAUUUAAUAAGGUGGGGUGCCAAGCGUUGAAGGUAUCCAUAUUCCUAGUUAUCCUAAUGCAUUCUACCCUUUAGGAAUAAAUUGAAAACAGAAUUGAACAACAAAUAUAGAAACACCAAAAUUUACUAACCUAAGUUUAGUUUACACCAGAUGCCAGGCUUAGCCAUGGGAGGUGACCAACUCGAGCGUGAGACCAUCAAGAAGUGAUCCACGUGGAGAAUAAAUAGGGUCAACAACCCAAGCAUUGCGGCUCUCGCAUGGCCUCUCGUAAGUCCCAAGACCCACCCCUCACUUUGCUUACAUGUGUCAUUAAUUUCGGACGGUUGUGAUGCUUCCGGUUCGUCUCAAAUUGCGGCGUGGCUAGAGAAUUUAUUGUCGUGCUACAAUAAGUGAACUUUAGGAUAUAUCUCAUGCAUUACGACACGAUAUUCUGUGAGGAAAGGGGGAAGACUGAACCAGGUUAGAUGAUGCGAUAUCGCGUGAGUGGAAGGAUGUAGAUCUUCCAUGACAUGAAGGGAUUAUUUCCAUUUUUCAAAGAAAUAUUGUGCGAGCGGAGGGGGUGGAUCUUCAAUGACAUGAUGUUUUUUUAUCUUUGUUAGUUAUUUCCAAUUUUUCUUAACCAAUUUAAGAGAACAAAUCAUAUCCAACAUGAAAUAUGGGAAGAAACUAAGGACACAUGUACAAAGCAACCAUUUACUUGCUAGAUAUCCAUGGCGCAUGCCCAUAAAAACAAACACCCCAUGAAGUUCCACUGAGUCUAAAAUUAAUGGAAAUCCAACACCAACAAUAUAUACCACCUGGUCCACCUACACGUGUUGGCCCACCUAAAUAGUGUAGUUAAGCGGCUUCUUGCAUCACAAUUAAACAAAAUAUCUUCCUUUUGCUCUUCAUUUGCAAAUUUUUGGUAUAAUCUUAGGCCAAUGAUUAUCUUCAAUGUUUUGUACACAAUAUAUACCUAAUUACAAACAACUUUCCCCCAUUAACCUAUUGUGGCCUACUCUAUACAUAUCGGAGGAUGAGAGGAUGGAUGAAUGAAUUCCAGAGGAGGAAUACAUAUGCGAGGGACAUUGCAUUACUUUCCCUUGGUUACCCAAAACUAAAAAUCUUGUUAUAUAUUCUCACACGNNNNNNNNNNNNNNNNNNNNNNNNNNNNNNNNNNNNNNNNNNNNNNNNNNNNNNNNNNNNNNNNNNNNNNNNNNNNNNNNNNNNNNNNNNNNNNNNNNNNNNNNNNNNNNNNNNNNNNNNNNNNNNNNNNNNNNNNNNNNNNNNNNNNNNNNNNNNNNNNNNNNNNNNNNNNNNNNNNNNNNNNNNNNNNNNNNNNNNNNNNNNNNNNNNNNNNNNNNNNNNNNNNNNNNNNNNNNNNNNNNNNNNNNNNNNNNNNNNNNNNNNNNNNNNNNNNNNNNNNNNNNNNNNNNNNNNNNNNNNNNNNNAUUCUCACACGGAAUUAGAAUGUUCACUAAUGCAUUAUCCAAGUACACCACACUUGUGCAUGUGAAGUAUGAUAUCAUAUUGUACUUGCAAUACAAGCUAACUGUGCUAAUGAGUCACAAUGUUUAUUCACGUAAGUAUGUAGUUUUGGUUGGAGAUUGUUACACGAGGCGCUUCCCCUCGUGGUUGAGGAUAACAUUUCUUAUCAAAUAAAUGUGUGCAUAUACGUUCACAAGGCAUUGAUUUCUUACUUGGUGUUACGGUAAUAGUGUUUUGAUGUUUGGAUAGAGUGUUGGAUAGGCAAUGGAUACCACAGUGGGCUCUAAAUAAUCAAUAACCCUUACACACACAUUUCAAUAGUAAGCAGUAAUAGGUUAUUUUUUCAUAUAAGUACAAAUGUGUCACAUCCCUGACACCUUAAUCAAAUUAGCUUUGUGCUCAUGUUUUCUUUGCAUUGCAUCUAGGAAAUUUUCAACAAGAAUAAAGUAAGUGGUGAAGGAAAACUCAAAACCCUAGCCACUUCUCAAAAUAAAGGAAAUUUCAAACUAGUUAAAAUCAAUGAACCCAAAAUGGCCUCAAGAAAAGCUCAACUUUUCUGAUAAUUCUUGGAAACAAAUAAGCAAUGAAGUAAACCAUUUCUUUUAUACUCUUGGCAUUUUAAAUAAAUGCAAAAAGCUAUUGGUUUCAAGUUUAAAAUUUGAAAUCAGAAACUUUAAGUUUUCAAAAAUGUUGAAAACUCGAGGAAUGGUUGGAUAUAUUCCAACAAAUAUUCUGGUGUGUUCAAAAUAGUUUUUACAAACUAUUUUGGAGCUUAAAUAAAUAGCAAAUCAAUAGUUAACAAAACAGAAACAAAACAAAAAAGAAAGAGAAAGAAAAGAGGAAAGACCUUACCUGUCGACUGAGGAGGCCCAGCCCACCAGGGGCAGGGUCGUCUUCUUCCUCUCCCUUCUGGCAGAGGGGAGAUCGACCACGGCGGCCCCCUCCACAUCCUGCUUCGCCGUGGCGACCUCCAGAGCCCCCCAGGACAGCGCGACAGGGGGGAUAUCCACCCCGAGGCCGUCCCUAUCCAUUCCCCAGCUCUAGUUUCCCCCUCCUCCCGGGAUCUCUCCUCCCUCCUUCUGCCGCCAUUGCCAAGAGCUAGAGCACGAGCCGCCGCGCCUCUAGCCACAGGACCUCCCUUCCGAGUAGUCCAGUAGCUUCGCCUCGUCGAGCUGGUUCUCUCUGCAACGGCCGAAGUCUCCCCAAGCUCUACAACGUCCCCAACGCCAUCGUCUUCAACCUUCGGUCGCCGGCAAAUCGACGGUGAAACGUCGGCAACAGCCCCUCCCCGAGCAGUCUGAGCCUAGCUUCACCUCCACCGCAAGCCUGCGAUCAUUUCCCCUCUCCUUCCCCUCGGAUCCGUGCCCCCUAGCCACUGGACCAUCGAACCCGUACUCCGGCAGCCGCCCCAGCUCGUCGCCGGCUUGCUCCGACCACCUAUAGCCCUCCCUGAGGCCAACGCUGGAUGAGGUCGAGCCUGGAGAUCAGUCCAGUGCUCUCGGCAUCCUUUUCCGAGCACCACAGCACGAUAUAGCGUGUCUCCGGCGAGGUUCUGCCGCGGAUCUGGUCGCUGCCGGCCAGGCUCCGGCGAGGAACGAUGUGGCCAGCCUAACCAAGUAGUUUAAAGCCUAAACACUCACUUAGGGGCUGGUCAGCGCGGGAUUAGCCACUAAGACGCUGACAAGUGGGUCCCCCCUGUUAGGUUUGACCUGAUCAGGUCAGUUGACCUGCUGAUGUCAUGCUGACAAAAUAAAGGGGUUUUCCAGUAUAAAAAUAAUUCCAGAAAUGUUUAUAACUUCAAAAAUUCAUAGAAAUUAAUCUGUAACUCCAAUGCAAAUAAUUUAUAUAUGAAAAAGUAUCAGAAAAAUUCAAGGAAUCUGAAUAUGUCAUUUUCAAACAUGUUUGAAAAUGUUACAGAACCCAAACAUGUAGAUUAAUGAAUAAGUUAAUUCUUAUAAAUACUUUGUAUAUGGAAUUUGGCAAAUAUUUAAAUUUCACUAUAAAUGACAUGAUCAAACACUGUCCUAAUUACAAACCAGCAACCUAACAUGUCAUCCCAUGCAUGUUAAAAGCAAGUUGAUCUGAGCAUCAGGUCGAAUCAAUUUAAAUGGUAUCCGAGAAUACCUCGUUUGAAGUGAUAUUUGAAUUUGAUUCAAAUCAACUUCAAACCUAAUACAUGUUAGCUAUAAUAGUUUACCAUCUUGCAUUCUCAUGCCAUGCUCAUGCAUCAUCUUGAUUGCAUAUGUUUGUUAUUGAUUGUUGUCAUUCCUUUCGGUAGGCUCCGCUCCCCCGGAUUCCACCGAAUAUCCAUCUGACGGAUAUUGUCACUCCUCUGAGCAACAAGGCAAGCAACCAUUUUGAUCAUCCCGAUAAAUCCCAUGUUCUUGCUCCUACACUUACUUAUUGCAUUAGGAUCAAAUGCUUCAAAUGCUUUUGCCACGUUAGUUGAACCCACUUCCUUUGCAUGACCUAUCCUUGUCACAGUAAAUAGCUAAACCUUGCAACCUAGCAUACCUGGUAGUUUCUUGAGCCAUGACAUGCCUUAUCCUGCUAUGCAUGCUAUGCUUAGAGUUGUGUAUGGUCUGUCAUCUGGGGGAUGAACAGAAUUGUGAGAAUGUGUUCGGAAAGCAAAGGUUGUGUGUUGAACCUGAUUUGGUAAAGGUACCGGUGAAAGGCUGUGUAGGAGUACAUGGCGGGUUGUUUCAUUGGAACCGUCCUUAGGAACUGAGUUCCGUGUAUGUAAUCCAAGACUAGAUACUACCACACGUUGGGAUACUUAAUUGACCCUCUCGACUUAUUAAUCGCUUAGUAUUCGAUCCAGGAGUUGCAAGUACUUUCUGGUGUUUAUAGUCAUGCUGGAGGCCGUGCAUCGCGCUGACCUGAGAGGUGGGCUGUGAUGCGGUAGGCAGUGGCACGGUGUACCAAGUGGCACCCGGAUGGUGGGCUUGGGAACCCUGCGGACAUCGUUUGAGGCUGUGGCGGAAACCUCGGCCGGACUUCCAUACGGGUUACUCUCAGAUAGGCGAUAAACCUCGACUAGGUACUAAUGUGGUUAACGGUCGUGGCCGACUCCCUCGCUGGGCUUCCGCUUGAAGGUUGCCGAGGUGCAUGACGUGCACAUGGCGAUAAGUGGCGAGAGCGUGUGUGACGAAGUACACCCCUGCAGGGUUAUGAUCUAUUCGAAUAGCCGCGUCCGCGGAUAUGGACUACAUGGAGACAUAUGUUGUUCAUAGAUAACUUAAAUGGCUACUCAUAAAAUUGUCAAGAUAAGCGUGAGUGUCAUGGACGGCAUUUCCGUAUGGAGACGGAAUGAUUCCACGAUGGAGUAUUGUUGUGGUGUUAGUGGACUAGAGUGCGAGAAAUCAAGUUGUCAAAAUUAUUUAAAAAUGCAAGUUGUCUAGCCACGAGUCAAAUGCUGGCUUUCCGCAUGAAACCCCACAAUACCUUAUUGAUACUUUGCAUGAGUAGAUAGUUAUCUUAAAGUCUUGCUGAGUACCUCCGUACUCAUGUUUGCUGAAUAAAUGUUGCAGAGGUUUCUAAUGACCCUAAUGGAGGGUUCUUCAUAGACAUCGACGACGACGAGUAGCUGGUGUCCCAGCUACGAUCUGGCCCUAGGUUGGGUCUGUAGUAUAGUCAGGCCAUGUGCCUUCUAGUUGCACCUGUCUGUACUCAGACAAUUUUAAACACUUCCGCUGGCUUGUAACUGAACGACUGCUAUUAUGGGUCGUGAGACCCUUACUGUGUAAUAUUAUGUGUGUGGCUUUUCCGAGCCUCUUAAAUAAUGCUUGUAUGUUUAUGGUUAUGUUGUGAUGCCAUCGAUGUAUCUAUACAUAUCGGUAUGCCAUGCGUACGUGUGUCAUACUUGAUAUGUAUGGGGUUCGACUACCUAGCCGUGAACUUUAGUAGCACUCCUUACAGGGAAAUGCCCCUUUGUGAUCCAACGAGCCAUGGUAGCUCGCUACUUCUCCGCACACAUUGGUUGACCGACAUGUGUCCUUCUUAGCUGUUGUGUCUGUCCCCUUUGGGGAAAUGUCACGCGAUGUAAUGGAGUCCUUGUAGCUUGCUACGACUCGUCUACACUCGCUGGUGACCGACACCUGCUUUGUUGGGUCAUGUAUGACUGUCCUUGUGCGGUACUGCCACUUUGGUUUAUGACUAGACUUGUCGAUCCGGGUUCUUUGACAUUGGAAUGCUAGCGACACAAUUGCAUACGUGAGUCAAAAGGCGCAAACGGUCCCGGCUAAGGUAAGGCUGCAGCCGUGGAGUUAACCGUGCGUGAGACCGCAAAGGGAUGCGAUGUGUUACAGACUGGAUUCCUAUGGCUUAGGAUCGGGGUCCCGACAAUUUUUUUUCUAAAAAAGUGUAUUUCACACUUUGUAAAAACGUCCAAAAUCCACUCUACACUUUCUUUUUGAAAAAAAUUAAACUUACAUUUUUGGCUAACUAAACUUGCGCAUUUUGAAACUAACGUAGGCUUAGAAAAAAGAAACAUUUACCUAAGGCAUGGCAAAAGCAAUAAAUCAUUUAGAUCUUUGGUCAUGCAAGGUGGCUAGACAAGGAAAACCCAUAAUAAGUAGAGUCUAGUUGAUCGGUCAUAAGCGGUGUGUGAGUCUCCAUUCUGAAAACUGCACACAUACAACAAAAACGGAAUCAAAACUAGUUUCGGAAGAAGUGUUGGGCACAUAACGGAAUCUAAAGGCUGAACAUAAUAGUUCGCACUGAUAUAGCCAAACUCAAAAUCUUUAAUGUUUUUUUUCGAACGUAGAAUAUCCUCUUUCCUCCGACUCUCCAAUUCUCAUCACCCAAAACCAACAAACAUGCAACUUGGGCCUAUCGCCAUCCAUAAAGAACAACUCUAAGUUUCUCUUAACUUUUGCCCUUCAAUUUCUCAAUAUAAUCUGAUGGCCCAACUCCAUCUGACCACAUCUAAAUCCUCUAGCACAAAACAAAGCAUAGCCUUCAAGAAACUAAGCAUUCCCUUGCUCUCUAUAAUCGGUGCCGCUCUGAUUAUUCAAGUGAUCCUCAAAGCACACUCUAAUGCAACUUAUCUAGCCCUCGUGUGAGCGCCAUCCUGCCUCGGGACCAAUCUUCAAUUCCAAACAAGAUCAAGAAUUGUGAUGCACAACAGAGUCUGACCCGACCAGUAGUAGGCCCGCCUCUAGGAAAAAUAGUGCCGCCUACUCCUCUAGUAUGUCAUUGUCCCGAGACGCACCAGCUCUACAAGUGAUUUUCGAAGUAACAAGCAUGGUGCUUUGGAUUGGUGUUUAGCGAAAGAAGGUUCUACACCUAGGUGAAUUAACACCAACCUUCCGCUUGAUCUUGUUUCAGGAAACAAGCAUAACCCACUAGUUAAAAUUGUAUUGCCUAUGUGGAAAGUGUAGAAUUGAUACUCAUGUUGCUAGAUUCACAAUCUAUAAUAUUAUUUGGAAGUUCUCAUCCUUAUAUAUUUGUUUGGAUCUAUCUAGAUAAAGACUUUGAAUACUUUUGAUAUAAAUGCCUAUGUCAGGAAAUUUGAUGUUUCUUGUUGAGUAGAGCAAACUUGUAUCACUCAUCACAAACUUGUUUCCUCGUGAACCAUUGUAUCGUGCAAAUUACGCAUACCCAAUUAGUGUCAUGUUAAAUCUUGUUUGUUCAAAGGCUUCUUAGUUUUUUUUAAUUUAUAUGUUGGGAUGUUGGUUUCUUUAAGUUGUUAUUUGCAAUCUUUUUCUUUGGCAAUUGUUGGGAAAUAUUUUGUUGUGCUUGAUUUUUGUGUUUCUCAUGCCUUUGGUCAUCAUAGUAAUAUAUAUCUGGUCGCAAUUCAUGGAUAUUAACCUAUGAUAUCAAAUAAUGGACAUUCAACUAUGAUAUCAAACAAUUCUUCACUUAUUGGUGUACGCAUUUGCUAAAUUGUGAUUAAUGGAUUCAUGUUGCAUGUACAAAGGCACAAGCAUUUUCAUAGUGAUUGUAGUGGGUCGGUAGUUGAGCAGUUACAGGGGUGGAUAUAUAUGAGCAUAAAUUGUGAAAUAUAAUGGACAACUGUUAAAAUAAAUAUAGAAGAAAGAAAAAAAAAGAUAAAAAAUCAAAUCUUAAGGCCGAUGGUCGCCGAGCAUGGUGUUCUACCCCAUUUCGUAAGCACUCUAGGCGACACCUUGUUUUGUCUCACAAUAGUCGACACAGAGUCGCUCCCCUAAGGUUAAGGUGAGUACCAUGUGGUCGUGUGUGCAAGUCAAGGAUGACCCAAUCACUCAUGUGGGCCAUCCACCUAAAUACUGUAGGCAAAUAGGCAAUGCCCAAUAAUCUACAAAACCUAUUUUUCUUACCCACACCAAUGAGUCUCUCUCGUGGGGCUUGUCCAUUUGGUUAUUAGUACCACAUCACCAGGCUGCAGAAUAAUGGGGGAAGAAGCCUGACUAUUUAAUAGGGUGGUAUGCCUCGGGUGGAAGGCAUCCAUAUCCUUGGUGAACCGGACACGGGAUACACUUUCAGUAUAAGUCGAAAACCGAACCAAAAAGGAAAUAUAGAAACACCAGAACUUACUAACCAAAGUUUAUGUAGCAAACGCCAGGGUCAGCCAUCUGAGGUGCCCAACAUGGUCAUGGGAUCAUCAAGCAGCGAUCCACAAGGGAGGAUAAAGGGGAUUCACAACCCAAGCUUUGUGGCUCUUGCAUGACCUCUCAUAAGGCCCAAAACCCAUGCCUCAAUUUCUUACAUGUGUGUUUCAUGUCAGAUGGUGGUGUGGGUUUCGGUACAUCUCAAGUGGCAGGGCGGCUAGAGAAUUUAUUUUCAUGCUAGACAUUAGGAUAUAUCUCACACGUUAUGACAUGAUCUUGUGUGAGGAAAAGGGUCAGACAAAUCUUGGGUUAGAUGAUGUGAUCUCGUGUGAGUGGAAGGGUGUGGAUCUUCAAGGAUGUGAAGUAAUAAUUUUCAUUUUUUCAAAGCGAUCUCAUGUGAGUGGAGUGGGGAUGAUCUUCACUGAUGUGAUGGGUUUUUCACUGUUGCUAGUUAUUUCCAUUUUACUUAAUCAACGGAAUCAAAACGGAAAUAUAGAAACAACAAAACUUAAUAACCGAAGCUUGGUAUAUACCAAAUGCUAGGCUCGGCCACGUGAGGUGUGCAACAUAGGCGUGGGACCAUUGAGAAGCGAUUCUCGAGGGAGGAGAAAGUGGAUUGAUAUCCCAACCAUUCUAUCUCUCGCAUGACCUCUCAUAAGUCCCAAGCCCACCCCUCGCUUUCUUACAUGUACGUUUAAUGUCACAUGGUGGGGUGGGUUUCGGUAUGUCUCAACUGGCGGGGUGGCUAGAGAAUUUGUUGUCAUGCUAGACCUUAGGAUAUAUGUCAAACGUUAUGAUGUGAUUUUCUGUGAGGAAAGGGGUAAGACGGAUCUUGGGUUAGAUGAUGUGAUAUCGUGUGAGUGGAAGGGUGUGGAUCUUCCAUGACGUGAAGUCAUAAUUUGCAUUUUACCAAAGCGAUCUCAAGCGAGUGGAGUUGGGGGGUGAUCCUCAAUGAGGUGAUGUGUUUUUCAUUGUUGCUAGUUAUUUCCAUGUUUUCUUAACCAAUUUAAGAAAAAAAAUGCAUAUCUAUCUUGAAAUACGGGAAAAAACAAAGGGCACAUCUACAAUGCUAGCAUUAGCUGGCUAGCUGUCCAUGGGGCACACCCGAAAAGCAAACAUCCCCAUCGAGUUACAAUGAGCUUAAAAUGGAAAUUCACCCCAAAAAUACAUCCUACUCCUCCCACACAUGUUGGCCCGCCUAAAUAGUGUAGUUAAGUGGCUUCUUGCUUUACAGUUAAACAUUCUUCCUUUUGCACGUUAUUUGCAUAUGGAUGGUAUAGGCUCUAAGCCAAUGAUUGUCUUGUAUGUCUUGUACACAGUUACCGCCUAAUUACAAAAAACACUCUUGGCCCUAUUGUGCCCUACUCUAUACAACUAUAAGUACGAGUGGAUGGAUGAAUCUGAUCAGUGCGAGCAUAACUAUGAGAAGGACAUUAUUUUACUUUCCCUUGAUUGCAAAAAACUGAAAUUAUUUUAAAUAUCGUCUCACACGUAACUACAAUUGUCUCUAUUGCUUUAUCUAGGUACACCACACAUUUUUGCAUGCGAAGUAUGAUUUCCUAUUGUAGUUUUAAUACGAGCAACGUGUGAGAACAAGUCAUAAAGUCUCUUAGGGCAUCUUCGGCAAUCCUCUAGAACCGCAAACACCUCGACUCUCGCUCCUCUAACUCAAACCCAACUUAAAAAUACUAGGGUUUUGAUAAGCUGUUAGCCAAAUCAGUAGUGUCCUAAGAUCGAUUUCAUCGUCCGAUGACCCAUUUAGGGGAUAUUUGGCCCGUUUGACAAGGAAACAUCCGCACCAUAUGGAUCUUCACCUCAACAUUGUAUGCAACUACGCAAGGCCUAAUAUUCUACAAAACUUCUUCUUCUCAACCAAUCCAAUCAGUCUUUCCCAUGGGGCUUGUCCGUUUCAUGAUUUCUCCCACAUCGUGUGGCUACACAAAAUGGGGUAGGGACCUUUUCUAUUUAAUAUGGUGGGGUGCCAAGCGUUGAAGGUAUCCAUAUUCUUAGUUAGCCUAAUGCAUUCUACCCUUUAGGAAUAAACUGAAAACAGAAUCGAACAACAAAUAUAGAAACACCAAAAUUCACUAACCUAAGUUUAGUUUACACCAGAUGCCAGGCUUAGCCAUGGGAGGUGACCAACUCGAGCGUGAGCCCAUCCAGAAGCGAUCCACAUGGAGAAUAAAUGGGGUCAACAACCCAAGCAUUGCGGCUCUCGCAUGGCCUCUCGUAAGUCCCAAGAUCCACCCCUCACUUUGCUUACAUGUGUCAUUAAUAUCGGAUGGUGGGGAGGCUUCUCGUACGUCUCAAAUUGCGGCGUGGCUAGAGAAUUUAUUAUCGUGCUACAAUAAGUGGACUUCAGGAUAUAUCUCAUGCAUUGCGACACGAUAUUCUGUGAGGAAAGGGGGAAGACUAACCCAGGUUAGAUGAUGCGAUAUCGCGUGAGUGGAAGGAUGUAGAUCUUCCAUGACAUGAAGGGAUUAUUUCCAUUUUUCAAAGCAAUAUCGUGCGAGCGGAGGGGUGGAUCUUCGAUGACAUGAUGUUUUUAUCUUUGUUAGUUAUUUCCAGUUUUUCAUAACCAAUUUAAGAGAACAAAUCAUAUCCAACAUGAAAUAUGGGAAGAAGCUAAGGACACAUCUACAAAGCAAACAUUUACUUGCUAGCUAUCCAUGGCGCAUGCCCAUAAAAACAAACACCCCAUGAAGUUCCGGUGAGCCUAAAAUGGAAAUCCAACACCAACAAUAUAUACAACCUGGUCCGCCUACACAUGUUGGCCCACCUAAAUAGUGUAGUUAAGCGGCUUCUUGCAUCACAAUUAAACAAAAUAUCUUCCUUUUGCUCUUCAUUUGGAAAUUUUUGGUAUAGACUUAGGCCAAUGAUUAUCUUCAAUGUUUUGUACACAAUACCUAAUUACAAACAACUUUGCCCCAUUAACCUAUUGUGGCCUACUCUAUACAUAUCGGAGGACGAGAGGAUGGAUGAAUGUAUUCCAGAGGAGGAAUACAUAUGCGAGGGACAUUGCAUUACUUUCCCUUGGUUACCCAAAACUAAAAAUCUUGUUAUAUAUUCUCACACGGAAUUACAAUGGUCACUAAUGCUUUAUCCAAGUACACCACACUUGUGCAUGUGAAGUAUGAUAUCAUAUUGUACUUGCAAUACAAGCUAACUGUGCUAAUGAGUCAAAAUGUUUAUUCACGUAAGUAUGUAGUUUUGGUUGGAGAUCGUUACACGAGGCGCUUCCCCUCGUGGUUGAGGAUAACAUUUCUUAUCAAAUAAAUGUGUAUAUAUAUGUUCAGAAGGCAUUGAUUUCUUACUUGGUGUUACGGUAAUAGUGUUUUGAUGUUUGGAUAGAGUGUUGGAUAGGCAAUGGAUACCACAGUGGCCUCUAAAUAAUCAAUAACCCUGGCACACACAUUUCAAUAGUAAGCAGUAAUAGGUUAUUUUUUCAUAUAAGUACAAAUGUUUUCUAGAAAAGUAUAUGUCACACUUUGUAAAAACGUCCAAAAUCCAUUUUACACUUUCUUUUUGAAAAAAAUCAAACUUACAUUUUCAGCUAACUAAACUUGCGCAUUUUGAAACUAACGUAGGCUUAGAAAAAAGGAAACAUUUACCUAAGGCAUGGCAAAAGCAAUAAAUCAUUUAGAUCUUUGGUCAUGCAAGGUGGCUAGACAAGGAAAAUCCAUAAUAAGUAGAGUCUAGUUGAUCGGUCAUAAGCGGUGCGUGAGUCUCCAUUCUUAAAACUGCACACAUAAAACAAAAACGGAAUCAAAACCAGUUUCGGAAGAAGUGUUGGGCACAUAACUGAAUCUAAAGGGUGAACAUAAUAGUUCGCACUGAUAUAGCCAAAAUCGAAAUAUUUAAUGUUUUUUUUCUAAUUUAGCAUAUCCUCUUUCCUCCCAAUCUCCAAUUAUCAUCACCCAAAACCAACAAACAUGCAACUUGGGACUAUCGCCAUCCAUAAAUAACAACUCUAAGUUUCUCUUAACUUUUUCCCUUCAAUUUCUCAAUAUAAUUUCAUGGCCCAACUCCAUCUGACCACAUCAAAAUCCUCUAGCACAAAACAAAGCAUAGCCUUCAAGAAACUAAGCAUUCCCCAUGCUCUCUAUAAUCGGUGCCGCUCUGAGUCUUCAAGUGAUCCUCAAAGCACACUCUAAUGCAACUUAGCAAGCCCUCGUGUGAGCGCCAUCCUGCCUCGGGACCACUUUCAAUUCCAAACAAGAUCAAGAAUUGUGACGCACAGCAGAGUCUUACCCGACCAGUAGUAGGCCCGCCUCUAGGAAAAAUAGUGUCGCCUACUCCUCUAGUCCCUCAUUGUCCCGAGAUGCACCAGCUCUACAAGUGAUCUUCGAAGCAACAAGCAUGGUGCUUUGGAUUGGUGUUCAGCGAAAGAAGGUUCUACACCUAGGUGAAUUAACACCAACCUCCCGCUUGAUCUUGUUUCGGGAAACAAGCAUAACCCACUAGUUAAAAUUGUAUGGCCUAUGUGGAAAGUGUUGAAUUGAUACUCAUGUUGCUAGAUUCACAAUCUAUAAGAUUAUUUGGAAGUUCUCAUCCUUGUAUAUUUGUUUGGAUCUAUCUAAAUAAAGACUUUGAAUACUUUUGAUAUAAAUUCCUAAGUCAGGAAAUUUGAUUUGUUUUGUUGAAUAGACCAAACUUGUUUCCUUGUGAACCAUUGUAUCGUGCAAAUUAAGCAUACCCAAUUAGUGUCAUGUUAAAUCUUGUUUGUUCAAAGGCUUCUUAGUUUUUUUUAAUUCAUAUGUUGCGAUGUUGGUUUCUUUAAGUUGUUAUUUGCAAUCUUUUCCUUUGGCAGUUGUUGGGAAAUAUUUUGUUGUGCUUGAUUUUUGUGUUUCCCAUGCCUUUGGUCAUCAUAAUAAUAUAUAUCUGGUCGCAAUUCAUGGAUAUUGACCUAUGAUAUCGAAUAAUGGAUAUUCAACUAUGAUAUCAAACAAUGCUUCACUUAUUGGUGUACGCAUUUGCUAAAUUGUGAUUAAUGGAUUCAUGUUGCAUGUAGAAAUGCACGAGCAUUUUCCUAGUGAUUGUAGUGGGUCAGUAGUUGAGCAGUUACAGGGGUGGAUAUAUAUGAGCAUAAACUGUGAAAUAUAAUGGACAACUGUUAACAUUAAUAUAAAAAUAAGAAAAAAAACAAAAAAAUAUCAACUCUUGAGGCCGAUGGUCGCCAAGCAUGGUGUUCUAGCCCAUUUCGUAAGCACUCUAGGCGACACCUUAUUUCGUCUCACAAUAGUCGACACAGAGUCGCUCCCCUAAUUAACGUUAAGGUGAGUGCCAUGUGGUCGUGUGUGCAAGUCAGGGAAGACCCAAUCACUCAUGUGCGCGAUCCACCUCAAUACUGUAGGCAAAUAGGCAACGCCCAAUAAUCUACAAAACCUAUUUUUCUUACCCACACCAAUGACUCUCUCCCGUGGGGCUUGUCCAUUUGGUUAUUAGUACCACAUCACCAGGAUGCAGAAAUGUUGGCAGGAGCUUGACUAUUUAAUAGGGUGGUUUGCCUCGGGUGGAAGGCAUUCAUAUCCUUGGUGAAUCGUACAAAGGAUACUCUUUCAGUAUAAGUCGAAUACCAAAUCAAAAAGGAAAUAUAGAAACACCAGAACUUACUAAUCGAAGUUUAUAUACCAAAUGCCAGGGUCAGCCAUGUGAGGUGCCGAACAUGGUCAUGGGAUUGUCGAGCAGCGAUCCAAAAGGGAGGAUAAAGGGGAUUGACAACCCAAGCUUUGUGGCUCUUGCAUGACCUCUCAUAAGGCCCAAAACCCACGCCUCGUUUUCUUAAAUGUAUGUUUCAUGUCAGAUGGUGGUGUGGGUUUCGGUACAUCUCAACUGACAGGGCGGCUAGAGAAUUUAUUGUCAUGCUAGAUAUUAGGAUAUAUGUCACACGUUAUGACAUGAUCUUAUGUGAGGAAAAGGGGAAGACAGAUCUCGGGUUAGAUCAUGUGAUCUCGUGUGAGUGGAAGGGUGUGGAUCUUCAGUGAUAUGAAGUGAUAAUUCUCAUUUUUUCAAAGCGAUCUCAUGUGAGUGGAGAGGGGGGUGAUCUUCAGUGAUGUGAUGGGUUUUUUACCGUUGCUAGUUAUUUCCAUUUUACUUAACCAACGGAAUCAACAAGGAAAUAUAGAAACAACAAAACUUACUAACCAAAUUUUGGUAUAUACCAAAUGCCACGCUUGGUCACGUGAGGUGUCCAAUAUGGGCGUGGGACCAUCGAGCAGUGAUUCAUGAGGGAGGAGAAAGGGGAUUGAUAGCCCAAGCAUAACAUCUCUCGCUUGACCUCUCAU
rnacentral:lncRNA from 1 species